GACGAACGCUGGCGGCGUGCUUAACACAUGCAAGUCGAACGAGAAUCACUGGAAGGAGUUUUCGGACAACGGAAGGUGAGGACAGUGGCGGACGGGUGAGUAACGCGUGAGGAACCUGCCUUUCAGAGGGGGACAACAGUUGGAAACGACUGCUAAUACCGCAUGACACAUAGAGAUCGCAUGGUUUUUAUGUCAAAGAUUUAUCGCUGAAAGAUGGCCUCGCGUCUGAUUAGCUAGUUGGUGAGGUAACGGCCCACCAAGGCGACGAUCAGUAGCCGGACUGAGAGGUUGACCGGCCACAUUGGGACUGAGAUACGGCCCAGACUCCUACGGGAGGCAGCAGUGGGGAAUAUUGGGCAAUGGGCGCAAGCCUGACCCAGCAACGCCGCGUGAAGGAAGAAGGCUUUCGGGUUGUAAACUUCUUUUGUCGGGGACGAGUAGAAGACGGUACCUGGCGAAUAAGCCACGGCUAACUACGUGCCAGCAGCCGCGGUAAUACGUAGGUGGCAAGCGUUGUCCGGAUUUACUGGGUGUAAAGGGCGUGUAGCCGGGAAGGCAAGUCAGAUGUGAAAUCCACGGGCUUAACUCGUGAACUGCAUUUGAAACUACUUUUCUUGAGUAUCGGAGAGGCAAUCGGAAUUCCUAGUGUAGCGGUGAAAUGCGUAGAUAUCCGGAGGAACACCAGUGGCGAAGGCGGCCUGCUGGGCUUUAACUGACGCUGAGGCUCGAAAGUGUGGGGAGCAA
rnacentral:rRNA from 1 species